rnacentral:rRNA from 1 species
AACGAACGCUGGCGGCAUGCCUAAUACAUGCAAGUCGAACGAGACCUUCGGGUCUAGUGGCGCACGGGUGCGUAACGCGAGGGAACCUGCCCUUAGGUUCGGAAUAACUCUCCGAAAGGGGUGCUAAUACCGGAUAAUGUCUUCGGACCAAAGAUUUAUCGCCUUUGGAUGGGCCCGCGUUGGAUUAGCUAGUUGGUAGGGUAAAAGCCUACCAAGGCGACGAUCCAUAGCUGGUCUGAGAGGAUGAUCAGCCACACUGGGACUGAGACACGGCCCAGACUCCUACGGGAGGCAGCAGUGGGGAAUAUUGGACAAUGGGCGAAAGCCUGAUCCAGCAAUGCCGCGUGAGUGAUGAAGGCCUUAGGGUUGUAAAGCUCUUUUACCCGGGAUGAUAAUGACAGUACCGGGAGAAUAAGCUCCGGCUAACUCCGUG